CGGAAGCAUCUGGAAAGUUGCGCCAUAGCGGGUGACAGCCCCGUACGCGAAAGCCCGAUCGUGGUACCAAGCUUGCGACAAGUAGGGCGGGGCACGAGAAAUCCUGUCUGAACAUGGGGGGCCCAUCCUCCAAGGCUAAAUACUCGUAAUCGACCGAUAGUGAACCAGUACCGUGAGGGAAAGGCGAAAAGAACCCCGGGAGGGGAGUGAAAUAGAUCCUGAAACCGCAUGCAUACAAACAGUGGGAGCCCCUUCGUGGGGUGACUGCGUACCUUUUGUAUAAUGGGUCAGCGACUUACGUUCAGUAGCGAGCUUAACCGAAUAGGGGAGGCGUAGGGAAACCGAGUCUGAUAAGGGCGCCUAGUUGCUGGACGUAGACCCGAAACCAAGUGAUCUAUCCAUGGCCAGGAUGAAGGUGCGGUAACACGCACUGGAGGUCCGAACCCACUAAUGUUGAAAAAUUAGGGGAUGAGCUGUGGAUAGGGGUGAAAGGCA
rnacentral:rRNA from 1 species